rnacentral:misc_RNA from 1 species
GAUGAAGAACGUAGCGAAAUGCGAUAAGUAAUGUGAAUUGCAGAAUUCAGUGAAUCAUCGAAUCUUUGAACGCGCCUUGCACCCUUUGGCAUUCCGAAGGGUAUGCUCGUUUGAGUGUCAUUGUACUCUCACACUCUCCGAUCCUAUGGAUUCGGGGAGCGGUGGACUUGGGUGUUGCUGCCUUUCCCUGUGGCUCACCUCAAAUGCGUCAGUGCACCUCUUGGUUGGACAUAGUACGGCGUGAUAAGUGUCUUCGCCGGCACCUCGCAAGAGGGUGGCCGAUCGGGAGCUCUGCGCUUUCAAACCGUCUUCGGACAAUUUCUGACAUCUUGACCUCAAAUCGAGUAGGACUACCCGCUGAACUUAAGCAUAUCAAUAAGCGGAGGA